rnacentral:misc_RNA from 1 species
UCUCCGUUGGUGAACCAGCGGAGGGAUCAUUACCGAGUCUUUACAACUCAUAACCCUUUUGGAAGCUUCAUACCUUUUUUCUGCUUCGGGGCGCCGCCGGUCUUGCCCGUCGUCCAUUUAUAAUCUCUUAGAUGUGAAUCCACGCUACAUCUUAUUUUUCUAAGCAAACUGUUAAUUCUUUCAACAACGUAUCUCUUGUCUCCAACAUCGAAGAAGAACGCAUUAAAACGGAAUAUCACACGCCUGAAUUCCAGUCACUCACCUCCACACGGACUG